rnacentral:rRNA from 2 species
UAAAUACAUGCAAGUCGAGCGAACUGAUUAGAAGCUUGCUUCUAUGACGUUAGCGGCGGCCCGGUGAGUAACACGUGGGCAACCUGCCUGUAAGACUGGGAUAACUUCGGGAAACCGAAGCUAAUACCGGAUAGGAUCUUCUCCUUCAUGGGAGAUGAUUGAAAGAUGGUUUCGGCUAUCACUUACAGAUGGGCCCGCGGUGCAUUAGCUAGUUGGUGAGGUAACGGCUCACCAAGGCAACGAUGCAUAGCCGACCUGAGAGGGUGAUCGGCCACACUGGGACUGAGACACGGCCCAGACUCCUACGGGAGGCAGCAGUAGGGAAUCUUCCGCAAUGGACGAAAGUCUGACGGAGCAACGCCGCGUGAGUGAUGAAGGCUUUCGGGUCGUAAAACUCUGUUGUUAGGGAAGAACAAGUACGAGAGUAACUGCUCGUACCUUGACGGUACCUAACCAGAAAGCCACGGCUAACUACGUGCCAGCAGCCGCGGUAAUACGUAGGUGGCAAGCGUUAUCCGGAAUUAUUGGGCGUAAAGCGCGCGCAGGCGGUUUCUUAAGUCUGAUGUGAAAGCCCACGGCUCAACCGUGGAGGGUCAUUGGAAACUGGGGAACUUGAGUGCAGAAGAGAAAAGCGGAAUUCCACGUGUAGCGGUGAAAUGCGUAGAGAUGUGGAGGAACACCAGUGGCGAAGGCGGCUUUUUGGUCUGUAACUGACGCUGAGGCGCGAAAGCGUGGGGGAGCAAACAGGAUUAGA